rnacentral:lncRNA from 1 species
CGCUGUGUUUGAGAGCCAACAAAACUCAACCUCUGCCCCGCCGUCCUCCUCCCUGGUGCUCCCAGCGGGGAAAUACAUCUACCUCAUUGCCUCUUGUUCCAGACGCCUCUGUAAUUCUGAGCAGCAUACACAGCGUCUCAGAUGCUGAAGCCCCGAAUCGGGCUGUUCCUGGGUUUCUAACUCCCUCCUGUGGAUUUGCUGCUGUGACCUUCUGAACGACCUUGCCCAGACUCUGCUGCUUGUUAACGCUUUACCAGGUGGAACCACACCGAUCCGUAGGGUCACGCAUGCAGCGGUGCCCCGGGAGGAACAGGGUCUCAGCCUUCCAAAUCCAGGAUUUACGUGUUUAACUUUUCUCACAGUGAAACAUCCUGUACGGUUCUGGUGUUUCCUCUGCCGUUUGCAAUUUCUUAGAUGGAUGGCGGUAACUAGGUAACUGUCAAGAAAAAAAACAGCGACUCGUUUAUUGCUUCAAAAUAUGCAACCAAAGCCAAGAGUACGAAAUGCGUUCUUAAGAUGAAUAGGUCAGUUAAGUUGUGCUUCCCAACUCGAUAAGGGCUAUAAUUAAUUUUUUUAAAGUUGUGCUACAGUGCUCUUACGCACUUACGCGAGCGUAGACUUUGAGCGCAUAAAAUGCGUCAGUGGCCUUGCCAGAUGACAAGGAUGAAUCGUGAGCAACAACAGAGAAAGGUGCAUAUCUUCGUGAAGCUCAGGGUCCAGUGGGACGGGCCGGCGUUGGUGACGUCAUCGAGGGAUGAGAUGUCACACUGACUGUGACAGGCCACACGGAAAAGAAUGCCUGGGUCAGCGGUGGCUUUUCGGAGUGAUCCGGGAGGUCACGCCUGUGGGGAUCUCCUUUUAGAAGCUUCGAGUUUCAUCUCGCGUUGGAUUCUCCUGCUUUAUUUCCCACUGGGCCUCUCCAGCAGAUGCCUGUCUGCAGUCUUGGAGGUUUGA